GAUGAACGCUAGCUACAGGCUUAACACAUGCAAGUCGAGGGGAAACGACAUCGAAAGCUUGCUUUUGAUGGGCGUCGACCGGCGCACGGGUGAGUAACGCGUAUCCAACCUGCCCACCACUUGGGGAUAACCUUGCGAAAGUAAGACUAAUACCCGAUGAUAUCUCUAGACGACAUCUGAAAGGGAUUAAAGAUUUAUCGGUGAUGGAUGGGGAUGCGUCUGAUUAGCUUGUUGGCGGGGUAACGGCCCACCAAGGCAACGAUCAGUAGGGGUUCUGAGAGGAAGGUCCCCCACAUUGGAACUGAGACACGGUCCAAACUCCUACGGGAGGCAGCAGUGAGGAAUAUUGGUCAAUGGACGCAAGUCUGAACCAGCCAAGUAGCGUGCAGGAUGACGGCCCUAUGGGUUGUAAACUGCUUUUAUGCGGGGAUAAAGUGUGGGACGUGUCCCAUUUUGUAGGUACCGCAUGAAUAAGGACCGGCUAAUUCCGUG
rnacentral:rRNA from 1 species